rnacentral:rRNA from 1 species
GAGUUUGUAUCCUGGCUCAGGAUGAACGCUAGCUACAGGCUUAACACAUGCAAGUCGAGGGGAAACGACAUCGAAAGACUUGCUUUUGAUGGGCGUCGACCGGCGCACGGGUGAGUAACGCGUAUCCAACCUGCCCAUCACUUGGGGAUAACCUUGCGAAAGUAAGACUAAUACCCAAUGAUAUCUCUAGAAGGCAUCUGAAAGAGAUUAAAGAUUUAUCGGUGAUGGAUGGGGAUGCGUCUGAUUAGCUUGUUGGCGGGGUAACGGCCACCAAAGCAACGAUCAGUAGGGUUCUGAGAGGAAGGUCCCCACAUUGGAACUGAGACACGGUCCAAACUCCUACGGGAGGCA